rnacentral:rRNA from 1 species
GGUUAAGCGACUAAGCGUACACGGUGGAUGCCCUGGCAGUCAGAGGCGAUGAAGGACGUGCUAAUCUGCGAUAAGCGCCGGUAAGGUGAUAUGAACCGUUAUAACCGGCGAUUUCCGAAUGGGGAAACCCAGUGUGACUCGUCACACUAUCAUUAACUGAAUCCAUAGGUUAAUGAGGCGAACCGGGGGAACUGAAACAUCUAAGUACCCCGAGGAAAAGAAAUCAACCGAGAUUCCCCCAGUAGCGGCGAGCGAACGGGGAGGAGCCCAGAGCCUGAAUCAGCAUGUGUGUUAGUGGAAGCGUCUGGAAAGGCGCGCGAUACAGGGUGACAGCCCCGUACACAAAAGCGCAUGUGCUGUGAGCUCGAUGAGUAGGGCGGGACACGUGGUAUCCUGUCUGAAUAUGGGGGGACCAUCCUCCAAGGCUAAAUACUCCUGACUGACCGAUAGUGAACCAGUACCGUGAGGGAAAGGCGAAAAGAACCCCGGCGAGGGGAGUGAAAAAGAACCUGAAACCGUGUACGUACAAGCAGUGGGAGCACCCUUUGGGGUGUGACUGCGUACCUUUUGUAUAAUGGGUCAGCGACUUAUAUUCUGUAGCAAGGUUAACCGAAUAGGGGAGCCGGAGGGAAACCGAGUCUUAACCGGGCGUUAAGUUGCAGGGUAUAGACCCGAAACCCGGUGAUCUAGCCAUGGGCAGGUUGAAGGUUGGGUAACACUAACUGGAGGACCGAACCGACUAAUGUUGAAAAAUUAGCGGAUGACCUGUGGCUGGGGGUGAAAGGCCAAUCAAACCGGGAGAUAGCUGGUUCUCCCCGAAAGCUAUUUAGGUAGCGCCUCGUGAAUUCAUCUCCGGGGGUAGAGCACUGUUUCGGCUAGGGGGCCAUCCCGGCUUACCAACCCGAUGCAAACUGCGAAUACCGGAGAAUGUUAUCACGGGAGACACACGGCGGGUGCUAACGUCCGUCGUGAAGAGGGAAACAACCCAGACCGCCAGCUAAGGUCCCAAAGUCAUGGUUAAGUGGGAAACGAUGUGGGAAGGCCCAGACAGCCAGGAUGUUGGCUUAGAAGCAGCCAUCAUUUAAAGAAAGCGUAAUAGCUCACUGGUCGAGUCGGCCUGCGCGGAAGAUGUAACGGGGCUAAACCAUGCACCGAAGCUGCGGCAGCGACGCUGAUGCGUUGUUGGGUAGGGGAGCGUUCUGUAAGCCUGCGAAGGUGGCCUGUGAGGGUUGCUGGAGGUAUCAGAAGUGCGAAUGCUGACAUAAGUAACGAUAAAGCGGGUGAAAAGCCCGCUCGCCGGAAGACCAAGGGUUCCUGUCCAACGUUAAUCGGGGCAGGGUGAGUCGACCCCUAAGGCGAGGCCGAAAGGCGUAGUCGAUGGGAAACGGGUUAAUAUUCCCGUACUUGGUGUUACUGCGAAGGGGGGACGGAGAAGGCUAUGUUGGCCGGGCGACGGUUGUCCCGGUUUAAGCGUGUAGGCUGGUUUUCCAGGCAAAUCCGGAAAAUCAAGGCUGAGGCGUGACGACGAGGCACUACGGUGCUGAAGCAACAAAUGCCCUGCUUCCAGGAAAAGCCUCUAAGCAUCAGGUAACAUCAAAUCGUACCCCAAACCGACACAGGUGGUCAGGUAGAGAAUACCAAGGCGCUUGAGAGAACUCGGGUGAAGGAACUAGGCAAAAUGGUGCCGUAACUUCGGGAGAAGGCACGCUGACACGUAGGUGAAGUGAUUUACUCAUGGAGCUGAAGUCAGUCGAAGAUACCAGCUGGCUGCAACUGUUUAUUAAAAACACAGCACUGUGCAAACACGAAAGUGGACGUAUACGGUGUGACGCCUGCCCGGUGCCGGAAGGUUAAUUGAUGGGGUCAGCGCAAGCGAAGCUCCUGAUCGAAGCCCCGGUAAACGGCGGCCGUAACUAUAACGGUCCUAAGGUAGCGAAAUUCCUUGUCGGGUAAGUUCCGACCUGCACGAAUGGCGUAAUGAUGGCCAGGCUGUCUCCACCCGAGACUCAGUGAAAUUGAACUCGCUGUGAAGAUGCAGUGUACCCGCGGCAAGACGGAAAGACCCCGUGAACCUUUACUAUAGCUUGACACUGAACAUUGAGCCUUGAUGUGUAGGAUAGGUGGGAGGCUUUGAAGUGUGGACGCCAGUCUGCAUGGAGCCGACCUUGAAAUACCACCCUUUAAUGUUUGAUGUUCUAACGUGGACCCGUGAUCCGGGUUGCGGACAGUGUCUGGUGGGUAGUUUGACUGGGGCGGUCUCCUCCUAAAGAGUAACGGAGGAGCACGAAGGUUGGCUAAUCCUGGUCGGACAUCAGGAGGUUAGUGCAAUGGCAUAAGCCAGCUUGACUGCGAGCGUGACGGCGCGAGCAGGUGCGAAAGCAGGUCAUAGUGAUCCGGUGGUUCUGAAUGGAAGGGCCAUCGCUCAACGGAUAAAAGGUACUCCGGGGAUAACAGGCUGAUACCGCCCAAGAGUUCAUAUCGACGGCGGUGUUUGGCACCUCGAUGUCGGCUCAUCACAUCCUGGGGCUGAAGUAGGUCCCAAGGGUAUGGCUGUUCGCCAUUUAAAGUGGUACGCGAGCUGGGUUUAGAACGUCGUGAGACAGUUCGGUCCCUAUCUGCCGUGGGCGCUGGAGAACUGAGGGGGGCUGCUCCUAGUACGAGAGGACCGGAGUGGACGCAUCACUGGUGUUCGGGUUGUCAUGCCAAUGGCACUGCCCGGUAGCUAAAUGCGGAAGAGAUAAGUGCUGAAAGCAUCUAAGCACGAAACUUGCCCCGAGAUGAGUUCUCCCUGAGACUUAAAGUCUCCUGAAGGAACGUUGAAGACGACGACGUUGAUAGGCCGGGUGUGUAAGCGCAGCGAUGCGUUGAGCUAACCGGUACUAAUGAACCGUGAGGCUUAACCUU